UACAUGCAAGUAGAACGCAGAGGAUUGGUGCUUGCACUAAUCUAAUGAGUUGCGAACGGGUGAGUAACGCGUAGGUAACCUGCCUGGUAGCGGGGGAUAACUAUUGGAAACGAUAGCUAAUACCGCAUAAUAGUUUAUGACUCAUGUUAUAAACUUGAAAGAUACAACUGUAUCACUACCAGAUGGACCUGCGUUGUAUUAGCUAGUAGGUAGGGUAACGGCCUACCUAGGCGACGAUACAUAGCCGACCUGAGAGGGUGAUCGGCCACACUGGGACUGAGACACGGCCCAGACUCCUACGGGAGGCAGCAGUAGGGAAUCUUCGGCAAUGGGGGGAACCCUGACCGAGCAACGCCGCGUGAGUGAAGAAGGUUUUCGGAUCGUAAAGCUCUGUUGUUAAGGAAGAACGGGAGUAGGAGUGGAAAGCCUACUUUGUGACGGUACUUAACCAGAAAGGGACGGCUAACUACGUGCCAGCAGCCGCGGUAAUACGUAGGUCCCGAGCGUUAUCCGGAUUUAUUGGGCGUAAAGCGAGCGCAGGCGGUUAGAUAAGUCUGGAGUACAAGGCUAUGGCUCAACCAUAGUGUGCUCUGGAAACUGUUUAACUUGAGUGCA
rnacentral:rRNA from 1 species